rnacentral:rRNA from 1 species
CCUACGGGAGGCUGCAGUGGGGGAUAUUACACAAUGGGGGGAACCCUGAUGCAGCGACGCCGCGUGGGUGAAGAAGCGCCUCGGCGCGUAAAGCCCUGUCAGCAGGGAAGAAAAUGACGGUACCUGAAGAAGACGCCCCGGCUAAAUACGUCUCAGCCGCCGCGGUAAUACGUAGGGGGCGGGCGUUAUCCGGAUUUACUGGGUGUAAGGGGGUCGCAGACGGGGAUGCAAGCCAGGUGUGAAAGCCCGGGGCCCAACCCCGGGACUGCCCUUGGAACUGCGUGGCUGGAGUGCAGGAGGGGCAGGCGGAAUUCCUGGUGUAGCGGUGAAAUGCGUAGAUAUCAGGAAGAACACCGGUGGCGAAGGCGGCCUGCGGGACUGCAACUGACGUUGAGGCACGAAAGCGUGGGGAGCAAACAGGAUUAGAUACCCCAGUAGUC